UAGGGAAUCUUCGGCAAUGGGGGGAACCCUGACCGAGCAACGCCGCGUGAGUGAAGAAGGUUUUCGGAUCGUAAAGCUCUGUUGUUAAGGAAGAACGAGUGUGAGAAUGGAAAGUUCAUACUGUGACGGUACUUAACCAGAAAGGGACGGCUAACUACGUGCCAGCAGCCGCGGUAAUACGUAGGUCCCGAGCGUUGUCCGGAUUUAUUGGGCGUAAAGCGAGCGCAGGCGGUUGAUAAGUCUGAAGUUAAAGGCAGUGGCUCAACCAUUGUAGGCUUUGGAAACUGUUUAACUUGAGUGCAGAAGGGGAGAGUGGAAUUCCAUGUGUAGCGGUGAAAUGCGUAGAUAUAUGGAGGAACACCGGUGGCGAAAGCGGCUCUCUGGUCUGUAACUGACGCUGAGGCUCGAAAGCGUGGGUAGCAAACAGG
rnacentral:rRNA from 1 species